rnacentral:rRNA from 1 species
CAUCCUUGAUCGGAAGGUCCGGGUAAUCUUUUGAAACUUCAUCGUGCUGGGGAUAGUCCCUUGCAAUUUUUGGACUUUAACGAGGAAUUCCUAGUAAGCGUGAGUCAUCAACUCGCGUUGAUUACGUCCCUGCCCUUUGUACACACCGCCCGUCGCUACUACCGAUUGAAUGGCUUAGUGAAUCCUUCGGAUUGGCUUUCUUUUCUGGCAACAGAAUUUGAUCGCUGAAAAGUUGGGCAAACUUGGUCAUUUAGAGGAAGUAAAAGUCGUAACAAGGUUUCCGUAGGUGAACCUGCGGAAGGAUCAUUAAAAAAUGAGACCUUUUUGAAAGGUCUAUUAAUAAUCCUACCCUUUGUGAAUUUGUUGUUUGAAAUAAUUUUUUUUCCAAAAAAAUUAUUGAAUGUCUUUCCCUGUUUGGUGGAGCUUGUAAAAGUGAAACCAUCAGGGGAAUGGCAAACAAUAAUUAUUUUGAAAAAAGACCUUUUUUUAAAAUUAAACUUUUAUGUAUUCAUUUGUCUAAAAUUAUUUUUAUAAUAUAAAAACAACUUUUGACAAUGGAUCUCUUGGUUCUCGCAACGAUGAAGAACGCAGCAAAAUGCGAUAAGUAGUGUGAAUUGCAGAAUACGUGAAUCAUCGAAUCUUCGAACGCAUAUUGCAC